GCGCCCGGCCUGCCGCGCCGCUCGCCCACCGCACCCGGCCGCGCCCACAGCGCAGAGGACGACGUCCUCAACAUCCUCGGCGAAAGCUUCAGCUGCGCCUUCUGCUUGGAGCUGCUGGAUCUCCCUGUCACUGCUGGAUGUGCUUUCGCGAUUUGUUCCCAGUCCGAUCCGUCUGCUUGGUCUGAUCUCUUGCAUCCCCACGGAUCUGCGUUCCUCUUCACAAGAGUAGAGUUGUUGGAGGGUAGCCGGAGCACCUAGACGACCCUGUCGGCGCUGCGGUCUUACCUGCACUGCACCGACUCGCCACUGCGCCACUAGCCUAUCUCCACCGCCAACUUAGGUAUAAUUAACCUCUCUUUCUUAAGUACAAAGUUCUCUUUGCAUGUGUUUGUUCGGUUGGUACACCACAGUCGCAGUGUCAUGGUACAACACAGUUGCAGUUCUCUUACGAUGCACUUGUGUUACUUAUUUGGACUUGUGAUGGACUUGUGGAUUUAUUUAGAUGGACUUGUAAUGAACUUGUGGAUUUGUACUUAUGGAUUUGUUUAAAUGUGACAUUUAUGUGAUGUGCAUGAUAUUUAUGUGA